rnacentral:misc_RNA from 1 species
AUUACUUCAUCGAGCAGUUACUGAAACAACAUGUCAAGUAUACUCUUAAUUCUAUCUUUAUACCUGGUAGCAGUAUCAGCAUUACCUAAAAAACUUCAAUGUAUACAAACUAAGGGAGAAAAAACUGGAGAAAACUGUUGCAUUAGAAAGAACGAAUGUGGAUGUGGAGUAUUUAAUUGUGGUACACCAAGAAGACAAGGAAAUGAUUUUGGGUCACACAGCGAAAGUUAUGCAAAAUCUCAAGACGAACACUCAGAAGACAAAGAGGAAAACCAAGAAGAAGAUCUAUACGAUCUGUGGGAUCCUGCACUUUUCGAAACUGGGCUUGAAGAAUGACUAAAGCGUCGAGGACGUCCAGAAUAUAAUAUGUGUUUACAACCUCUUGUUAUAAUUAAUCAUUUGGCCGAUUAGAUAUCUAAUGAGCACUUUGAUAUUCAAUUUUCUUUGCCUCGUUUUUGUACAUAGCUUUUAAAAUUUUAUAACAGGUACACAUAUUAGAAAUCAAUAGCAAAAAGGUAUUCUUUUCUUUCAUGUUAAAAAUUCUAAAUGCUUUGAAAGACCGCUUUUUUUAUGGUGACAAGGAUAAAAAUCACAAUAUCUUGCUAACGAUGUUGUGGUAAAUGAGAGAACGAUAAGUGAAUUUAUAAAACUAUAAUUAUAUCGUGCAUUAGCUACGCACAUGGCAUCAUAUUCUAUCAUUUCCAUUAACAACCUAAUUAUGCAUAACAAAUUUUAGAUAACUCCCAACAACUAGACCAAAAUUGCGAAUCGUUAAUCAAACACAAGACUUUCUACUCCAAGUUAAAAGCUAGGAAAACAAUAAUAUGACAAACAACUGAUAAAAUAGCACUCAACUGAUAAGAUUAACUGACUCUAUAGGGAUUUGGAAAGCUGAUAAACUUUCAGCUACCAUUUCGCUUACGAAAUUCGCUUAGGAAUAUAGAAAGCGGAUUAAUGCGAUUAACGAUAAAACGAUUGACAAACUCAACAGUCUUGGCAGCCCGCCAAGUGUUAAUAACAAACUUACGGCAGAGUGAAACGUAAGAGCAAGAGUUGAUGGUGCGUUACUUUUACAACAGAAAACGGUUUCUUUUUAUUCUUCUCACUUUCAACAAGAUAUGAGCAUUCAAUUUUUCACAAAGAGUAAGUUUUAUCUUAUAAAACUUGAUAUAGAACUUAUUUUCAAAGGUCAGUUUAAUCAUUGUUAAACAUGAAGAUACUUGCAUUGGUAUUGUUUAUAUCUUUAUACUGUGCACUGGGUAUUUGGUAAAGUAUAAUGUAUACAAAGAACCUUUAAUUUCCGUAAUUCGAUAUACAUUAUACAAUAAUACAUGAUUUUACAAUUAUCCUUCUUUUUAUCUGUUUAAUGGUAGUUUGAAUGACGAAUUAAAUUCAACGAUUGAGAAGAUAUUCAAUCUGUUCUUACUUUUAAAUUAAGAUACGACGCCAUCUAUUGCUUUUUUUUAAGUAAUGUCCUUUGACACUCGGAAUUAUCUAGGGUAUUUUGCUAUUAAACGAAUUUGUAUAUUAAUUUUUUGUAGAGAGAAAAGUAUCCUUUCUGAAGUUAAAUGUACUUAAACGUUUUGUAUAAGUACUAAUACAAUUGAACUUACCGAAAAGGGAGAGUAGAGAGAAUGUGGCAGAACAUUACCAAAAGGAUGCUGAUGAAAAUGUGGAAAAUAAGUAGCAAGUUGCUGCUCCUGUAGAGCUAAGAAUCGAGAAUUUAAUUCCUGUUGAAGAAAAUCGACUCCUUGAGAAGACUUUUGCCUAUCCGAUACAGACAGCAUGCUGCCUCGACUUAGACUGGAAUUCGUAGAGAAAAUGGUGGUAACUAUUCGUUAGUCAUCAACCAAUCAGCGUCGUUCUUUUGUUACACGUCCACUCACUUAGAGGUGCUAGAUAUUGGCGGCUCGCGGCGAAACUAUCGAUAAGGGGGCGCCGGUUGAUCGAGCCCUAACGUAAGUUAUGUAAUUUACGUCGUUUACGGCUGCAGUACGAGAUUUAUACAUCAGUCGCUGGGGAAAUCAGACGCGUCUCUAAAUCAAUUUAACAGCCUAUUGGUGCAAAUGGCAGCAGUCACGCUUUUUUUCCUUCUCCGAAAUUUGACGUCUUAGGUUACGUACUAAGUAACAAAUAACUGAAUUAUGCAAGUGUUUACAAUGGAGCAGAAGUCUUUGGGGCUAUCCUAAAGAAUUUACAGUUAGCUGUAGCAGAAUAACAGCAAGGCAUAGAAUAUCCAGAAAUGAUUGUUUAUAUUUUAUAGUGCAU